GGCAAACGGGUGCGCAACACGUACAGAACCUUCCUUUAAGCGGGGGAUAGCCCAUAGAAAUGUGGAUUAAUACCCCAUGGUAUAAUUGUCUGGCAUCAGAUGGUUAUUAAAGAUUUAUCACUUAGAGAUGGCUGUGCGUCUGAUUAGGUAGUUGGUUGGGGUAAUGGCCCACCAAGCCUUCGAUCAGUAACUGGUGUGAGAGCACGACCAGUCACACGGGCACUGAGACACGGGCCCGACUCCUACGGGAGGCAGCAGUAAGGAAUAUUGGUCAAUGGAGGCAACUCUGAACCAGCCAUGCCGCGUGAAGGAUGAAGGUCCUCUGGAUUGUAAACUUCUUUUAUGUGGGAAGAAAUGCAUUCUUUAUAGAGUGUUUGACGGUACCAUAGGAAUAAGCACCGGCUAACUCCGUGCCAGCAGCC
rnacentral:rRNA from 1 species